rnacentral:lncRNA from 1 species
AAUUCCCGAAAACGUUGGUUUUAAUUGGGGGCUGUAUAGUCACAACUGCAAAAAGAGUUGAAUCGUUAUUGUAUUGUCAUGAUUCCAGUUUUUAUCUCUAUGCUCCUCUAGUCUUAUUUUCAUAGUCCUAAUUGUAUAACUCAACUUCAUCUGUACUUGUGUUUUCUGCUGGUAUUUUUGUACACUCUGGAUAGAGCAUCUUUCCGUGGACAAUCUUUAUCAUUCUUGAUGCUAUCAUAAAUCAUUCUUGGCCUAGUGUAAGGAGAGCUUAUAUUCUUUUUCAGAGUUCUCUCUAUAAAUUCUAUAGCUGGAUCAUAAGUCACAGAUUUCAUUAUUUUUAUUAAUUUGUUAUCUGAAUACUAAUGCCAGAUCCAGUAUGCCAGGUCCAGUAUCUCAGGUACAGUGCAGCAUAUUCUAUUCUCUAUUUAAGGGCUUAUAAAUAUCACUUAAAAAGCUUGAAGUGUAACCAUGUUUGAUAGUUUGGCUGACAAUUGUAUUGAAUUCUUCUUCUUUUAUCUUUAAUGAAUUGCAAUGGGUGAAAAUACUACUCAGUAAGGCUCUUAUUGUUGGUUUUCUGCAGACUAUUGGGCUAUAGACUAGGCAGAUAUAAAUACUGGCAAGUAUACUUCUUUUCUGUAGGCUGUAGGGAUCAGUAUUCUUCCAGAUAUUUAUAUCAAUGCAAUGCAACUGGUUCUCCGCUAUCUGGUCUAAUAGUAAAGUCAAGCCGAGCAUUUCAUCUGAGCUCUAUUACUUUAUUAGCAUCUUUCUUUUAGUUCAGGAUAACAAAAAUAAUCUAUUACAUAUCUUAAGAAAUAAUUUACUGACUACAGCAGUUGUGGGAUCAUAUUUGUUUUCCUUGUAUCUGACUGCUAUUUCUGCCAGAACCAUCCAACCAUCAGCUCUCAGAUGGGACACCAGUGGUCUGUUUAUAAUAUUUCUCAUCAAAUUGGAAGCAUAACUUGUAUGUAAUUAUGUGGGCAAUGUCUCUAAUUACAUGCAGUUUGCUUCAUUGUCAUCAAGAUGUUCAAACAUAAAUCUAUACAGUAUUUAUACAUGCCAGUGGUAUAUUUAUUGAUGAAGAUAGCUUUGAUUGAUUGAUU